rnacentral:rRNA from 1 species
UAUAGAGAUUAUAGUGGAGGUUUACCAUGGAGACAGGUUGGUGCAGUUGGUUGUCGUCAGCUCGUGUCGUGAGAUUGUUGGGUUAAGUCCCGCAACGAGCGCAACCCUUAUUGCUAGUUACCAUCAUUAAGUUGGGGACUCUAGCGAGACUGCCAGUGAUAAACUGGAGAAGUGGGAUGACGUCAAAUCAUCAUGCCCCUUAUGACCUGGGCUACAAACGUGAUACAAUGGCUGAAACAAAGGGCAGCGAAGCAGUGAUGUGAAGCGAAACCCAAAAAAGCAGUCUCAGUUCGGAUUGAAGUCUGCAACUCGACUUCAUGAAGUCGGAAUCGCUAGUAAUCGCGAAUCAGAACGUCGCGGUGAAUACGUUCUCGGGGUUU